UGUAAAUAUAUUUAAUGUUUAUGUUAAGCGUCCUUAAGGUCACGGGUAGUCACAAGUGCGGUACCUAUAUAAGGAGGGUUAGCCCAGUCAUUUUUUAUUAAGUGUUGAUUGUCGCCAAAAUGAAAUUUGUCUUCUGCAUUGUUUACACCGCCUUAGCGGCAACUCUGUUGAUGUCCACGGCAAUGGCUUGCAACCCUGACGAUAAUGGUUCUUCCGACGACCGAAAAAAAUAGACAGAAACUCAGACAAGCGCUGCUACGAAUAAUAACUAAGUUGUAAUAGGUAGUGGAAAUAUUAAUUUGAAAAAUGGGUGUAACAUGCGCUUAAUAAAUACGAUGUUUAUGUUGA